rnacentral:lncRNA from 1 species
AAUUUGUGAGGAGAAAUGUUUCUAAUUGAGUAUAAACAAACUAAAUUACUAUAUGUGGCUCAAAUGAGCUUGAGUAGUCGGCUAAUGAAGUUAGUUGAGUUAUAAUACUUGCUUAAUAAUGAAAAGAACAUGAGCUUAAUGCUCAAAUAGCAUUCGGCUUUGGACUAAGUUAAAUUAGUUAGGAAAUGAGUUCCAAGAUAGUGAAUUAUGUGUUAAAAGAGGGAUUUAGGUUGUAUAUACGUGUUUAGAUUGAAAACAAGAGGCUAUGUUAGCUAAUUGAGGGAUUCAGCCAUAGUAUUAUAGUGAAUAAUAAUUUAAACAAGGGUUUUAAUUGUAUGAUAGGUUUUCGGAUAUGGUUGAUUGGAUAAUAAAUUGGUGUGGAUGUUUUGAAUGAGAUAUGUACAAUUAUAAGUUAAAUUUAAGGUUUGUUAAAUUUGUCCUUAUCAUUGCCGAAUGAGUUCAAUGGCUAAAGAAAAUUGUUAAGUGCUUAGUUAAUGUGCAUUCGGUCAUUUAGGAUGAGUAUACAUUUGAUAAUGUUUUGAUACUUUGAAAUGGAAU